rnacentral:rRNA from 1 species
UCCGGCAGCUAGCUCUCUGCAACUCUCACAUGGUCGCCCACUGAAGAUAAGCAGGGCUGCGCCCGGUCAGUACCUGGAUGGGAGACCACAUGGGAAAGCUAGGUUGCUGCCGGAA